rnacentral:misc_RNA from 1 species
GAAAUGCGAUAAGUAAUGUGAAUUGCAGAAUUCAGUGAAUCAUCGAAUCUUUGAACGCACAUUGCGCCCUCUGGUAUUCCGGGGGGCAUGCCUGUUCGAGCGUCAUUACACCCCUCAAGCAUUGCUUGGUAUUGGGUGCUCGCCCUUCCUUCCGGGGGGGCGCGCCCGAAAUUCAGUGGCGGUCCCGGUGGACUUCAAGCGCAGUAAAUAUUUCGCUUUGGAAGCCUUCCGCCGGUGGCCCCGCCAGCAAACCUUUUUUUACCCCAACAAUUGACCUCGGAUCAGGUAGGGAUACCCGCUGAACUUAA